UACGUAGGGACCGAGCGUUGUCCGGAUUCAUUGGGCGUAAAGAGCUCGUAGGCGGCUGUUCAAGUCGAACGUGAAAACUCGGAGCUCAACUCCGAGCCUGCGUUCGAUACUGGACGGCUAGAGUCUGGUAGGGGGAUCUGGAAUUCCUGGUGUAGCGGUGGAAUGCGCAGAUAUCAGGAGGAACACCGGUGGCGAAGGCGACAUCCUGGACCGGUAUUGACGCUGAGGCGCGAAAGCCAGGGGAGCAAACGGG
rnacentral:rRNA from 1 species